UACAGAGACUGCAAGCGUUACUCGGAUUUACUGGGUGUAAAGGGUGCGUAGGUGGCUAGGUGUGUCAGAUGUGAAAUUUUGGGGCUUAACCCCAAACUGGCGUUUGAAACUAUCUAGCUAGAGUAUUGGAGAGGUAAGCGGAAUUCCUAGUGUAGCAGUGAAAUGCAUAGAUAUUAGGAGGAACACCAAAGGCGAAGGCAGCUUACUGGACAAUAACUGACACUAAAGCACGAAAGCGUGGGGAGCAAAAGGG
rnacentral:rRNA from 1 species